rnacentral:misc_RNA from 1 species
AAAGAUUACAUUUUUAGUUCCUUCCAGUGAACUGUUUGCUGAAGUAAACUAUGCAGCUAGCAAGAAAUGAUCCUAUGACUGUACAAUGAGUUAAUAAAACAUAAUUUACACCAUUGCCCACCUGAAGCUGAUGAAAAAGAACAGGACAGAAUAUACAUCUGCAACUAACAAAUUUGUGCAACUAAGACAGUAUGUCAAGCAAAAGAAAUGCUCAGAUAUUAUCAGAUAAUGAUCCUUAUUGAAGCCCCGCCGCCUCACACAACACUCAUGUAUAUCUUCUAGCUCCACAAGAUUAAGUAGUAAAAUGUUGGUUUUUCCGAAAGAAAGAAGGCGUCUUCACAAGUACUUUUCUCAUCAUGGGAAGAAUCUUUUGAGGCCACCAGAUAAGGGGAAUGUCGAAAGAAGUCCAACAAAACGCCUUUUCAACGAAUUACCUAGGUAUGGCAGAACAGCUAUUUCUGGAAAAUCUUGAUAAUAUGGUCUUUUUGCAGCAUUAGGACCAAGUGCUGGGACAAGACCAUCUUCUGGCAGAUGCGUGCCUUGGAGGUCUACUCCAUCUGCAUCAGUUCCACUGUUUUCUGUCAAGUCAUGUGACAGACCGCAUUGGUUCAACCAUUUGCACAACAAUCUCUCGGGAUCAUCUUGUGAUUCUCGACGAAUAAUUUCUUUCCCCAUGUCCUGAAUAAGUGGAGGCAUCAUCACCUUAUUUUCGUCAUCAAUGCUGAUGAGGGAUCUGUCAAUGAGGUUCUG